rnacentral:pre_miRNA from 9 species
UCCCGAUAGCGCAAAAGUUAACUCAAAUUUGUAUGGAGUUGGAACGUUUGCUUAUGUUUGCCGCUUGGGGCGCUGUUCCACCUUUACAUACAAAUUUGAGUUAACUUUUACGCUACUAU